GUCCAGGCAUGACCCCUCUUAGAGCCCGGAGCAUCUCGCUUCCGCUCCUGGGCGUUUCCAAUCUCUCAGCGUUUCUCGAUCCACCUCUUGUCAUGUUCCCAGACGCAGGUUCCUCACUUACUCCUCUUCUUUUUCGUCCCAGUUCCUCUCUCAGCCUCGAAUACACCGGCUCACUAGCCACGCUUUCGCUCCCUCUCGCAUCAUGUCUAUAAUGGUCGGACUGGGCCCUACCGAGUGCAGAAGUACUGCUUGCGGCAGCUGGAAGUGGAGUGUGAGAACUAGAUGGAGCGUUGCAAAGGCGAGUCAGAGAAAGUGAUCGACGUGCUCCAAUUGUGUGGGUAGUUGUGGUUAAUGUGGAUCCAGAGGGACGAGGACGUCCUCGAUGUUUCCUGCGUUGUGAGAGUGAGCUUGAAUGGAGGGGGUCACAUGAAAAUACGAGAUCAACGCACCUAGCAUUAAGCAUGGACUUGUGAGCAGCAGCUUCUUUCCAUAGUCCAAACACCUCCGCUAGAUCUCCGGUUAGCCCUGCACUUGGCAAUACGAUGCGGGUCCACUCACUAAGCAGCUUUUGGUUCCUUUCUUUCUCCAUGGUUUUGGCCCAUUUCCUCCUUUCCAAAGCUCUCUCCCAAGUAGCCCAUGUCUUGCUUUUCACCCGUAGGGAGUCCGCAGUGAUUCCGGGAAGGAUCUGAAGGAUGCUAUCAAUAUUAAACUCACAUUGAAAGGCGAAGACUCACAUGGGUGUUGGCCUUCCAUUUGUC
rnacentral:sRNA from 1 species